GAUCCUGGCUCAGGACGAACGCUGGCGGCGUGCUUAACACAUGCAAGUCGAACGGGAUCUGCGUGGCCUUUGUGGUUGUGUGGUGAGAGUGGCGAACGGGUGAGUAACACGUGAGUAACCUGCCUUUUUCUUUGGGAUAACGCUCAGAAAUGGGUGCUAAUACUGGAUGUUCUGCGCUUUCCGCAUGGGGGGUGUGGGAAAGGGGCCUUUGUGGUUUCUGGAGGGAGAUGGGCUCGCGGCUUAUCAGCUUGUUGGUGGGGUGAUGGCUUACCAAGGCUUUGACGGGUAGCCGGCCUGAGAGGGUGGGCGGUCACAUUGGGACUGAGAUACGGCCCAGACUCCUACGGGAGGCAGCAGUGGGGAAUUUUGCACAAUGGGGGGAACCUUGAUGCAGCGACGCCGCGUGAGGGAUGGAGGCCUUCGGGUUGUGAACCUCUUUCGCUCGUGUGCAAGCCGCUAUUUGGGUAGUGGUGAGUGUAGCGGGUAAAGAAGCGCCGGCUAACUACGUGCCAGCAGCCGCGGUAAUACGUAGGGCGCGAGCGUUGUCCGGAUUUAUUGGGCGUAAAGGGCUUGUAGGCGGUUUGUCGCGCCUGUCGUGUAAUCCUCUGGCUUAACUGGGGGUGUGCGGUGGGUACGGGCAGGCUUGAGUGCGGUAGGGGAGAUUGGAAUUCCUGGUGUAGCGGUGGAAUGCGCAGAUAUCAGGAGGAACACCGGUGGCGAAGGCGGGUCUCUGGGCCGUUACUGACGCUGAGGAGCGAAAGCGUGGGGAGCGAACAGGAUUAGAUACCCUGGUAGUCCAUGCUGUAAACGUUGGGCACUAGGUGUGGGGGCCGCCCUUGGUUUCUGCGCCGUAGCUAACGCUUUAAGUGCCCCGCCUGGGGAGUACGGCCGCAAGGCUAAAACUCAAAGGAAUUGACGGGGGCC
rnacentral:rRNA from 1 species